rnacentral:lncRNA from 1 species
GAGGCCGGCCCCCAGGGGCCUCUCACGCAGCGCAGGCGCUUUAAGGCUGAGAGGUGAGCAGAUCUCGCAGGGAGAUCCCGAAGAAGAGGCAGAGAGCCGCCCGCGCCAGCUGUCACUGUUCCAGUGCGUGGCCAUGUUUCCCUUCAGAUAAUAAAUGUCAUCAAGUUUGGUCACACGGGUAUUAAAUCACAUUCAAGCACCUGUUUACCUGCAGGUUUUGGUGUAGAUGAGUUUUCAACUCCUCCCUGUCAAUACCAAGGAGAGAUUGCUGGAUUAUAAGCAAUGAAUGAGAGUUCCUGUUGCUCCAUCACUAGCAUCUGAUGCUGUCAGUGUUCUGGAUUUUGGCCAUCCUAAUAGAAAAGUAUGUCACAGGUAAAGGCCUGGAUUAAUCCUAGUCUGUUGGGGAGAUGGAGGAAACCGCUCAAAGCCCCACAUCUAAAACUGUGCAGUUUAGAAGGCCAAGAACAAAAGUGGGAAGAAAGUCAAUCCAGAACUUCAACCCAGGAUCUCUCUCUCUGCGGUGGCUGCAAUAACCUCCUAAUCAAUCACCCUGCGUCCACUCUCAUUUCCCUGGUCUGUUCACAGAGCCGUCAAAGUGAUGCCCUCAAAUGUGAGCCUGGCUGUGCCACCCCUACUCAUCGUCCAGUGAUCCAUCUGACUAUAAUAACUCCAGUUCUUCCCUGUGCCUCAAAGUCCUGCGUGGUCUGGCCCCAAGGCCUCUUGUGGCCUCAUUCUCACCUUCCUCCCCUCACUCACUGCAUUGUAGCCAUGCUGGGCUCUGCACUCUUCCUCAAACACCCUGGAUACUACCCUUGCCCUGAAACGUUGCCCUUGGAAAGUUCUCCUCACCCACAGCACAUGCCUCCAAUGUCCACCUCAGUGGGGUCUCCUGAGUACCACCCAAAACAGCUCCCGUCUCUGUUGUCCUUGCUAGCACACAUUCCUGCCUGACACAAUAUUAUACAUGGUAUUUACGUGUUCACAGUGUGCCCUUCCUCAUGAAGCCCAGCUAUUCUGGGCUGACACCCCACCACCCACAGACCAUCUCCUGUCUCCAUUGCUUCUUCCCCACUUCUGGGUCCUUGGAAGUUGCGGGCACCAUCUGCUGAUUGCCCAGGG